GAUGAAGAACGUAGCGAAAUGCGAUAAGUAAUGUGAAUUGCAGAAUUCAGUGAAUCAUCGAAUCUUUGAACGCACAUUGCGCCCGCCAGUAUUCUGGCGGGCAUGCCUGUUCGAGCGUCAUUACAACCCUCAGGCCCCCGGGCCUGGCGUUGGGGAUCGGCGGAAGCCCCCUGCGGGCACAACGCCGUCCCCCAAAUACAGUGGCGGUCCCGCCGCAGCUUCCAUUGCGUAGUAGCUAACACCUCGCAACGGGAGAGCGGCGCGGCCACGCCGUAAAACACCCAACUUCUGAAUGUUGACCUCGAAUCAGGUAGGAAUACCCGCUGAACUUAAGCAUAUCAAUAAGCGGAGGA
rnacentral:misc_RNA from 1 species